CCACGACCUCUACGUUAAAGAUUAGAGAUGUGAAUGUGUCUGACUCUGGGCUUUACUACUGUGGGACGCAGCCAGGGGACCACAUGAUCUAUCACAACGCAACAUACUUAACCAUCACAGCUUCUGUAGAUGAGGUUGAGCCCGAGCCCAAGCCCUCAGAGACAGUAGAGGACGGGCAGUUCUGCAGUGGGGGCAGUUCUGCAGUGGGGCGUGUGAAGCUGUCAUUCUGGUUCUUAGGGUUCUCAGUGCUGUUCUCGGUCUGGCGUUUUUCAUCGUGAUCCUGAUCAAAUGCAGAGCUGCACUCAGAACACAGAACACAGACCCUGGUAAUCUUACAGCGUCUCCACCUGAGCAGGACUCAUGCGUGUAGCACGCAGCUCUAAGCUUCAACGAGAGGGAGAAGAGAAGAAGGACCCUCCACAGAGAAAGCACAUAUACGUGUGUCUUAUAUUUUGCUAUAACACCAAAGCUAUACAAAAAGUUGCAUUGAUGCUGUUGUAUUUCACUGCUAUACACUGUUCAGAAUUACUGUGUUCUGGUUCAGUCCAAUUUGUAUUAUGAACAAGAUAUC
ensembl:lncRNA